UGGGGAAUUUUGGACAAUGGGCGAAAGCCUGAUCCAGCAAUGCCGCGUGUGUGAAGAAGGCCUUCGGGUUGUAAAGCACUUUUGUCCGGAAAGAAAUCCUUGGCUCUAAUACAGUCGGGGGAUGACGGUACCGGAAGAAUAAGCACCGGCUAACUACGUGCCAGCAGCCGCGGUAAUACGUAGGGUGCAAGCGUUAAUCGGAAUUACUGGGCGUAAAGCGUGCGCAGGCGGUUUGCUAAGACCGAUGUGAAAUCCCCGGGCUCAACCUGGGAACUGCAUUGGUGACUGGGCAGGCUAGAGUAUGGCAGGAGGGGGGUAGAAUUCCACGUGUAGCAGUGAAAUGCGUAGAGAUGUGGAGGAAUACCGAUGGCGAAGGCAGCCCCCUGGGCCAAUACUGACGCUCAUGCACGAAAGCGUGGGGAGCAAACAGGAUUAGAUACCCUGGUAGUCCACGCCCUAAACGAUGUCAACUAGUUGUUGGGGAUUCAUUUCCUUAGUAACGUAGCUAACGCGUGAAGUUGACCGCCUGGGGAGUACGGUCGCAA
rnacentral:rRNA from 1 species